AGAAAGGAGUUGCCAGGCACUGCAACUAGAAAGCCUUCCAGAACACUGCCUCAGGCUCAACAGGACUGUCAGACAGACAGAAGGAAGAUGAUGGACAUAAAAACACAAGCAGAAAGCACUUCAGAUGAUGACCUGAAUGCGUAAGGAGUUGUGACCUGGCUAGGAAAGGCUUCGUGUCCUUUCACUCAGCAUGUCCCUGAACAGGAAGCACAUCUCAUAAAAACAAA